CUGCUGCCUUCCGUAGGAGUUUGGGCCGUGUCUCAGUCCCAAUGUGGCCGUUCGCCCUCUCAGGCCGGCUACC
rnacentral:rRNA from 1 species